rnacentral:misc_RNA from 1 species
UCCCCGUUAUCCGGGGCGGUUUCGCUAGAGUGCCCGACUUGACUCGCUGGCAACUAACGAUAAGGGUUGCGCUCGUUGCGGGACUUAACCCAACACCUCACGGCACGAGCUGACGACAGCCAUGCAGCACCUGUGCAGCGGCCCCGAAGGGAAAUACUAUCUCUAAUAUCGUCCACUGCAUGUCAAGCCUGGGUAAGGUUCUUCGCGUUGCAUCGAAUUAAACCACAUGCUCCACUGCUUGUGCGGGUCCCCGUCAAUUCUUUUGAGUUUCACCCUUGCGAGCGUACUCCCCAGGCGGUAUACUUAUCGCGUUAGCUUCGGCACAACUAGGGUUGAGUCCAGUUACACCAAGUAUACAUCGUUUACGGCAAGGACUAC